UUAUUUUACAAAAGAAUGAUGAAGUUGUUAGAGCAACAGGCUUAUCUCAUCAGAGAUCUAUAAAAAAAAUGCCAAUGACAGUACUCAAGAAAAAAGAAAAAGGUGCCAAUGGGGCAUCUUAUUACAAGGACUGUUAGGUUAGGAUCAUUGGAGUAGUUACUUCCAGCUAAGAGUUAAUGUCGAAUAUUGCAAUCCUCAAGUUAUGGGU
rnacentral:lncRNA from 1 species